rnacentral:rRNA from 1 species
UGGGGAAUAUUGCACAAUGGGCGCAAGCCUGAUGCAGCGACGCCGCGUGAGGGAUGACGGCCUUCGGGUUGUAAACCUCUUUCAGCACAGACGAAGCGCAAGUGACGGUAUGUGCAGAAGAAGGACCGGCCAACUACGUGCCAGCAGCCGCGGUAAUACGUAGGGUCCGAGCGUUGUCCGGAAUUACUGGGCGUAAAGAGCUCGUAGGUGGUUUGUCGCGUUGUCCGUGAAAACUCACAGCUUAACUGUGGGCGUGCGGGCGAUACGGGCAGACUAGAGUACUGCAGGGGAGACUGGAAUUCCUGGUGUAGCGGUGGAAUGCGCAGAUAUCAGGAGGAACACCGGUGGCGAAGGCGGGUCUCUGGGCAGUAACUGACGCUGAGGAGCGAAAGCGUGGGGAGCGAACAGG